UUAUCUUAUCUUGACGUUGAACAUAAUAUAUUAUAUUCAGUAUGUUCAUAUACAUUCAGUAUGUAUUCAUAUCUUAUUCAGUAAUGAUAUUCUGAACAACGUUUAAAAAUUGUUUUUUGUCAAUCAAUCUUUCUUAACGAACGUCCAUAACACCACGAUGACGGGCUGAUGAUUUGUACCGAUCCGUGUGUGGUUGCAAACAACCAUGAAAACCACGUCAACACAACAAAAUCAACAAUCAACAUACCCAGUACUUCCGCUGCUAACCGCCAAAUGUAUCUGUACGGUAGACGUGACAAUAACGCCUAGGCGCAGCUCGCCUUUUAUAUCCUUAACCAAAUGUACCCUUUUACCAGUAGGUUCGAAGUAAAGCCAAAAAAUCACACAUGAUAACUGUGAAAGAACUUUUCCCUCAACACUCAAUUUUGCUUAAUAUUCUAAUUCUUCAACAACUAAAACUACAAUAAUUUUCAAAUCUUCUCCGUAGUUGCUAUGUGAACUAUAUUUUGUAAAUAUUAGACUUCAUCAUUCUUUCAAAAUAAUAAAAAAUAUGUUUUUGUUAUGCCUACCAAGAAAUGCAGUGUGUGCUUGGUGAAGUGAUAUGGCGUUUGACAAGUAGUGCUAUAUCCAGUCAGCAGAGUGAUCCUGUAAUGGUCAAACAUUUCUCCACGCGACUCCAGUCGAUUUCUCUUACUUCAUUAGUAUACUAAUAUUCUAAUAUUUUUUCGCUUGUAUUGGUUCCUUUAUAUUUGACUCUAUCCUAAACAUGACUGUUGCAAAAAUUACUCUAUGUAUAUUAAGUAUAAUGGUAACUUAAUUAUUUACUACUAUAAUAGUUGAUUUUCCAAUUUCAAGUAAAUUCUCUUUACAAUUGAAUAUUUUAAAAAUAUAUUUUCUUUGACAUGUA